rnacentral:rRNA from 1 species
UGAGGUCAGGCAAGACCACCCGCUGAACU